UCUGGUUGAUCCUGCCAGAGGUUACUGCUAUCGGUGUUCGCCUAAGCCAUGCGAGUCAUAUGUAGCAAUACAUGGCGUACUGCUCAGUAACACGUGGAUAACCUGCCCUUGGGACCGGCAUAACCCCGGGAAACUGGGGAUAAUUCCGGAUAACGCAUAUUUGCUGGAAUGCUUUAUGCGUCAAAAGGAUUCGUCUGCCCAAGGAUGGGUCUGCGGCCUAUCAGGUAGUAGUGGGUGUAAUGUACCUACUAGCCAGCGACGGGUACGGGUUGUGAGAGCAAGAGCCCGGAGAUGGAUUCUGAGACAUGAAUCCAGGCCCUACGGGGCGCAGCAGGCGCGAAAACUUUACAAUGCGGGAAACCGUGAUAAGGGGACACCGAGUGCCAGCAUCAUAUGCUGGCUGUCCGGAUGUGUAAAAUACAUCCGUUAGCAAGGGCCGGGCAAGACCGGUGCCAGCCGCCGCGGUAACACCGGCGGCCCGAGUGGUGAUCGUGAUUAUUGGGUCUAAAGGGUCCGUAGCCGGUUUGGUCAGUCCUCCGGGAAAUCUGAUAGCUCAACUAUUAGGCUUUCGGGGGAUACUGCCAGACUUGGAACCGGGAGAGGUAAGAGGUACUACAGGGGUAGGAGUGAAAUCUUGUAAUCCCUGUGGGACCACCUGUGGCGAAGGCGUCUUACCAGAACGGGUUCGACGGUGAGGGACGAAAGCUGGGGGCACGAACCGGAUUAGAUACCCGGGUAGUCCCAGCCGUAAACGAUGCUCGCUAGGUGUCAGGCAUGGCGCGACCGUGUCUGGUGCCGCAGGGAAGCCGUGAAGCGAGCCACCUGGGAAGUACGGCCGCAAGGCUGAAACUUAAAGGAAUUGGCGGGGGAGCACAACAACGGGUGGAGCCUGCGGUUUAAUUGGACUCAACGCCGGACAACUCACCGGGGGCGACAGCAAUAUGUAGGCCAAGCUGAAGACUUUGCCUGAAUCGCUGAGAGGAGGUGCAUGGCCGUCGCCAGUUCGUACUGUGAAGCAUCCUGUUAAGUCAGGCAACGAGCGAGACCC
rnacentral:rRNA from 1 species